rnacentral:rRNA from 1 species
UACAGAGGUCCCAAGCGUUACUGAGAAUCACUGGGUUUAAAGGGUGCGUAGGUGGUCCGUUAAGUCAGUUGUGAAAUCCCCGGGCUCAACCCGGGAAAUGCUUCUGAUACUGGCGGACUUGAGGCCAGUAGGGGUCACUAGAACUGACGGUGGAGCGGUGAAAUGCGUAGAUAUCGUCAGGAAUGCCGGUGGUGAAGACGGCUGACUGGGCUGGUUCUGACACUGAGGCACGAAAGCGUGGGGAGCGAACGGG